rnacentral:lncRNA from 1 species
UUGGUCCUGCCUCUGCCGCCCAGGCGUGCCGUGCCGCGGCAGCGGAAGGUACCAAGUGCUGUCAGCAUAGGUCGGCGGUUUCUCACUUCCAGAAAGUGGUUCGGCUCAGGCAUCAGCCAAGCCUGGCAGGCCGGGGUAAACAUUAUAAGCUGUAUGUAAGAUGGUGAAGAGUAUCUAAGAGCUGCAUGCAGAGAUUAUCCCUCCAUCUUCCAUUUUAAAAGUUGCUGGCUUUCAACAGGUGAAUUUAGGAAACGGAUCAUUCCCAACCAUACUUUUACACGUUGGGCACUCCUACCGCUCCCCGUUUGCCUUCCCUUUUGGCUAAGCAGUGCCCUUGCCCAACGUUUCCUCACCGCUUGCCCAGGCCCCGGCUUCAAGCCCAGUGCCCCAGCAGUGCCAUACCCCAGGGCACAAUCUCGCUGGGCGCCUAUACGCGCAGGGUAUGUACAUAAUUAUUUAUUAGUGCCCGCAAGUUUGUGCCCGCCUCCUGGUCCCCCAGGAGGAGCUGGAGGCACCGCCGCCCCUCGGCGCUCCCUGACGGGCUGAGGGCAGCCAGGUGCGGGCAGCCAGGUGCGGGCAAUGCCUUCACCGGCGCGAACGGCGCAUGCG